rnacentral:rRNA from 1 species
UUUAGAGUCCUGGCUCAGGAUGAACGCUGGCGGCAUAGCCUAACACAUGCAAGUCAACGGGGUUUAUAUAACAGAACUCUCCGGAGGGAAGAUAUAUAAACCUAGUGGCGGACGGGUGAGUAACGCGUGGGCAACCUGGACCCUGUACCGGGGGACAACAGCCAGAAAUGGCUGCUAAUACCGCAUAAGCCUGCGGUGCCGCAUGGCACAGCAGGGAAACCACGGUGGUACAGGAUGGGCCCGCGUCUGAUUAGUUAGUUGGCAGGGUAACGGCCUACCAAGACGAUGAUCAGUAGCCGGCUUGAGAGAGUGGACGGCCACAUUGGGACUGAGACACGGCCCAGACUCCUGCGGGAGGCAGCAGUGGGGAAUAUUGCACAAUGGGGGAAACCCUGAUGCAGCAAUGCCGCGUGGGUGAAGAAGCACUCCGGUGCGUAAAGCCCCUGUCAGCAGGGAAGAAAAUGACAGUACCUGACCAAGAAGCCCCGGCUAACUACGUG